rnacentral:rRNA from 1 species
GGCUUUCGGGGUGUAAACCACUUUUGCCCGGGACGAAAGGGGGGACCUGAAUAAGGUUGCCCGAUGACGGUACCGGGAGAAUAAGCCACGGCUAACUCUGUGCCAGCAUCCGCGGUAAGACAGAGGUGGCAAGCGUUGUUCGGAGUUACUGGGCGUAAAGAGUCUGUAGGUGGUCUGUCAAGUCUUUGGUGAAAGGCCGUGGCUUAACCAUGGGAAUGCCAAAGAGACUGGCAGACUGGAGGCUGGGAGAGGGAAGCGGAAUUUCCUGGUGUAGCGGUGAAAUGCGUAGAUAUCAGAAGGAAGGCCGGUGGCGAAGGCGGCUUCCUGGAACAGACCUGACACUGAGAGACGAAAGCGUGGGGAGCAAACAGGAUUAGAUACCCUGGUAGUCCACGCCCUAAACGAUGGGUCUAAUGUGUGGGAGGGUUAAGCCUCCCGU